GUGUCAGCCGCCGCGGUAAAACCAGCACCUCAAGUGGUCAGGAGGGUUAUUGGGCCUAAAGCAUCCGUAGCCGGCUAUGUUAGUUUUCGGUUAAAUCCAUGUGCUCAACACAUGGGCUGUCGAGAAUACUACAUAGCUAGGGAGUGGGAGAGGUAGACGGUACUCGGUAGGAAGGGGUAAAAUCCUUUGAUCUAUUGAUGACCACCAGUGGCGAAGGCGGUCUACCAGAACACGUCCGACGGUGAGGGAUGAAAGCUGGGGGAGCAAACCGGAUUAGAUACCCGGGUAGUCCCAGCUGUAAACUAUGCAAACUCAGUGAUGCAUUGGCUUGUGGCCAGUGCAGUGCCGCAGAGAAGUCGUUAAGUUUGCCGCCUGGGAAGUACGUACGCAAGUAUGAAACUUAAAGGAAUUGGCGGGGGAGCACCACAAGGGGUGAAGCCUGCGGUUCAAUUGGAGUCAACGCCAGAAAUCUUACCCGGGGAGACAGCAGAAUGAAGGUCAAGCUGAAGACUUUACCAGACAAGCUGAGAAGUGGUGCAUGGCCGUCGCCAGCUCGUGCCGUGAGGUGUCCUGUUAAGUCAGGUAACGAGCGAGAUCCCUGCCUCUAGUUGCCGCCAUUACUCUCAGGAGUAGUGGGGCGAAUUAGCGGGACUGCCGCAGUUAAUGCGGAGGAAGGAGGGGGCCACGGCAGGUCAGUAUUCCCUGAAACUCUGGGGCCACACGCGGGCUGCAAUGGUAGUUACAGUGAGUUCCGAAUCCGAAAGGAGGAGGUAAUCUUCAAACGCUACCACAGUUAUGAUUGAGGGCUGCAACUCGCCCUCAUGAAUAUGGAAUCCCUAGUAACUGCGUGUCAUUACCGCGCGGUGAAUACGUCCCUGCUCCUUGCACACACCGCCCGUC
rnacentral:rRNA from 1 species